rnacentral:rRNA from 1 species
GAUGAACGCUAGCGGCAGGCCUAACACAUGCAAGUCGAGGGGCAGCACAGAAACAGCAAUGUUUUGGUGGCGACCGGCGGACGGGUGCGUAACGCGUAUGCAACCUACCUUUAACAGGGGGAUAACGGAGAGAAAUUUCCACUAAUACCCCAUAACAUCGAUCAAGGCAUCUUGAUUGGUUGAAAACUCCGGUGGUUAAAGGUGGGCAUGCGUUGUAUUAGGUAGUUGGUGAGGUAAUGGCUCACCAAGCCUACGAUACAUAGGGGGACUGAGAGGUGCGCCCCCCAACGGGGAACGGAAAAAGGGACCAGACCCCUACGGGGGGCAGCAGUGAGGAAUAUUGGUCAAGGGGGGAAACCCUGAACCAGCCAUGCCGCGUGAAGAAAGACGGCUCUAUGAUUUGUAAACUGCUUUUAAAAAGGGAUAAAGCACAGUAUGUAUACUGUGUUGAAGGUACUGUAAGAAUAAGGAUCGGCUAACUCCGUGCCAGCCGCCGCCGUAA